GACAGAGGGGCAAGCGUUGCUCGGAAUUACUGGGCGUAAAGGGCGCGUAGGCGGGAUGGCAAGUCGGUCGUGAAAUCCCUCGGCUCAACCGAGGAACGUCGAUCGAUACUGCUGUUCUUGAGGAUUGCAGAGGAGACUGGAAUUCCCGGUGUAGCGGUGAAAUGCGUAGAGAUCAGGAGGAACACCGGUGGCGAAGGCGGUUCUCUGGGCAUUACCUGACGCUGAGGAGCGAAAGUGUGGGGAGCGAACAGG
rnacentral:rRNA from 1 species